UCAAACAAAGUGAAUUAAACAAUGACAUUUAUUUACUUCGUCUUUGUGGCUCCCUGAUAAAACAGUAACAUCCAUUACUGUAGUUAGGCUUUCCAAUGUGUAGCUAGGUGUGUAAAAGCACAUAGCUGUGUUCAUUUAUAUCCGCUAGAUAUAUCCGCUAGAUGGCACUUUAAGAGAUUCAUAAAUGAGGUGUGGAAGCGGUAUUGGGAUUGCGUAUGUGCAGUGUGUGAGAGUGAGAGCAAGCAAUUACACUGACUGGAGAGCUGUCGUUACUUUAGUAUGGGUCAGAUGAGGAUCUACUGUUCCAUGUGGGGUUAGGGUAUCAUGUGGACAGUGUGUUUGGAGUGCCAAGAUGGAAGCUUCAACACAGCACCCCCUAUGAAUCAUCUAGUGUAAGACCAAGGACCUAACCGUGGACUACAGGGUGGAGCAGGUCGAGAGUUCCUUUGUGUCCAAAUCACUAAGAACUUAAAAUGGUCCAGACACAAGACAGUGCCUCUUCCCCCUCAGGAGCCUAAAUGUUUGGCAUGGGCCCUAAAAUCCUCAAAACAUUAUACAGUUGUACCAUUGAGAGCAUCUUGACUGGCUGCAUCAAUGCUUCGUAUGGCAAUAGCACCACCUUUGAUCGCAGCCCAGUACAUCAGUGGAGGCUGCUGAGGGGAGGACGGCUCAUAAUAAUGGCUGGACUGGAGUCAAUGGAAUUGUAUCAAACACAUCAAAGACAUGGUUCCCGUGCGGUUGAUACCCUUCCAAUGAUUCAAUUCCAGACAUUAUUUAGAGCCGUCCUCCCCUCAGCAGCCUCCACUGCAGUACAUCACUUGGGCCGAGCUCCCUGCCAUCCAGGACCUCUAUAUCAGGCGAUGUGAAAGAAAGGCCUGAAAAAUCACUAAGGACUCAAGUAUUUUAUUCUUAUUUUUGCACUGUUUCUAUACACACUCACAGGACCCCACACACUACGCACACUAAUACCCCAACACACAAACAAACACUCACUCCAUCAUUUGCUCACACACACAUAAUAUGCACAUACAUUUAUACUGACUCUACAUACACCCACUCACAUACAA